CUUAAUGGAAAGAAUGAGGAUGGCAGGCAGGAGAUCUGAAAGAGGUAGCCAAUCCUGAGGAGAACCCCUGUUUGGGGGCUUGUUCUCCACUGACAAUGAUGGUGUCAGAAGUGGGAUCCCUAUUGUUCAGUUCAAGUAAACCUGAAAGGUCUCUGAGACCAUGGAAGCUGGUUUUUGAAUCUCUGGAUACUAUACUAUAAUCUCCAAAGAACUGAAGUUGAAUAUCACCCAAAGGGCAAUUGGAGGAACACAUGAUGUGUACCAACAGCUACAACACAUAACACAUGAAAUUACAUAAGAAAAUGUGCCCAGAAAGAAAAAAAAAGAGCUAGUUAUAUAGUGAGAAAAAGAGAAAACCAAUUGAAGGCCCCAGGUUCCAUCAUUAUCCACAAAAAAUCAAGAGAAUUUGAAAUGGGUUGUAAUCAGCAUUAAUGGAGAAAAAAAACAACAAAAACACAAAUCUCCUUGAAAGUUCCUGAUAGUCUUAAAAUUUGUAUGGAAAAAUGAAUGGAUAUAAAUUUAUAUAAUUCUAUGAAAUAACUGAUUUGCAUGGCAUUAAAUAUCAAAGUUAGUUUGGGAAGGAAUUACCAUUUUUACCAUAUUUGUCUGACCUAACCAUAAGCAGAAAAUGUUCUUACAUGACUUCUGUCAAAAUAAUUUUGAAGCUGCCUCCUCUAUGUCUCUCUAAGUUAACACCCUGAUAUUUAAUAUACUCUUAUCAUCAUAAAGUAUAUUUCUCUAUCAUUUUGCUUAUGAUGAAACUGAGGUUUAGGAAAGUUAAUCUGCAAGUCUUCAAGUGGCCUCAGGCAAAGUGACACAAAUGAGGUUAGAACCUAGGUUAUCUUAUUCCUACUCAACACACUUUUUGUAGUUGCAUUAGUAUAUGUAUUGUGAUAACUACAUAUCCUUUCAAGCUGAAAUUAAGUUGCUCUAAUAAAUAUGAAGUGAAAAAAGCUUUUUAAAUCAAUAUAGAAUUUUCUUUAUUUUCAACAUUUAAGUUCAGAUCCUAGCAAUUAUAUAUUUAUAAUAAUGAUAAACUAUGAGAUAGUUGGGACACCUCUAACAAGGCAUACAAAUUAUAUGGAUAUACUCAAAAAUAAACUACAAAUAUUUUGAAGAAUUUAAGGGCCAUGAAUCAAGAUGAAAAGCAGAAGAAAACUAAACAAGACAUAAAAUAAUACCACCCCAUAAAGUUAUAUUCUAAUUUCAAUUU